rnacentral:lncRNA from 1 species
UUAAACUUGUGUACCUGAAUGGAUUUUUGAUUGACUCGGACUGCCUAGUGCAUGAACACCUAUAUGAUAAGGCUGCAGCCCAUAGUAUGCAGAAGAAGGGACUAAAUCUGGCACCUGACCAAUUACUCAGAGAUCACUUACAUGCUAUCCGCCUACCAGGUAGUACAGCCGUGUGGCCUACCUCUGACAGGAGCUGCGGUGGACUCUCUGGGCCUUCCCCAGCAGCUGUGCUCUGCAAAGGUGGCAAGCCAUCCAGCAUCUCCUGUAAUUACAGAAACUUCCCUGUUGUUUGGAAAAGUGAUCAGGAUGGCGUAACACGAAUCUGCAUAACAUGGCUUGAGUCCAGAUUGCCUCAGUAGGUUUCUUGUAUGGAUUGUUUCCCAAAUCUUCCUUCGUCGGUCAAAUUUAAGAAUAAAAAUAAACAAGCAGCAUUCA